CAGUAGCCGCGGUAAUACAGAGGGUGCAAGCGUUAAUCGGAAUUACUGGGCGUAAAGCGCGCGUAGGUGGUUCGCCAAGUUGGAUGUGAAAUCCCCGGGCUCAACCUGGGAACUGCAUCCAAAACUGGCAAGCUAGAGUAUGGUAGAGGGUGGUGGAAUUUCCUGUGUAGCGGUGAAAUGCGUAGAUAUAGGAAGGAACACCAGUGGCGAAGGCGACCACCUGGACUGAUACUGACACUGAGGUGCGAAAGCGUGGGGAGCAAACAGGAUUAGAUACCCCUGUAGUCCCUGUCUCUUAUAC
rnacentral:rRNA from 1 species